rnacentral:misc_RNA from 1 species
GAUGAAGAACGUAGCGAAAUGCGAUAAGUAAUGUGAAUUGCAGAAUUCAGUGAAUCAUCGAAUCUUUGAACGCACCUUGCGCUCUUUGGCCAUUCCAAGGAGCAUGCCUGUUUGAGUGUCAUUGAAUCCUCAAGGGCCCCCUUUCUUCCGAGGGGGGGGGGGACUUUGGACUUGGGAGCGCUGCGGCCGCCGGGCUUUCCUCCGGCUCCGCUCUCCUCAAACGCAUCAGUAGGGCCCCUCAUCCCUUCGGGUCUUUUGCGGCGUUGAUAGUCGUCUACGCCUCUGCCCCGUCGGGUCUCACCUGCUCCUCAACCCCACAUUCUCCUUUGAACGCUUUGACCUCAAAUCAGGUAGGACUACCCGCUGAACUUAAGCAUAUCAAUAAGCGGAGGA